rfam:Faecalibaculum rodentium strain Alo17, complete genome.
GAUCAAGCAAGGAAGGGCGCAGGGAGGAUGCCUGGCCACACUGUACUGAAGAAGGACGUGCCAAACAGCGAAAUGCGACGGUGAGCCGUAAGGAGGCAAAGACCCGUCGGUGUCCGAAUGGGGGAACCCGGCAGCCAGAAGGCUGUCAUCCCGAAAGGGAGAGGUACCCGGGGAACUGAAACAUCUAAGUACCCGGAGGAAAAGAAAACAACAGUGAUUCCCCGAGUAGCGGCGAGCGAAAGGGGAAAAAGCCCAAACCGGAGAGAUCCGGGGUAGUAGGACCGUCAAAAGAGUGCGAAAGACACAGCAGAAUGUACAGGGAAGUACAGCCAGAGAGAGUGAAAGCCUCGUAAGCGAAGUGUGUGAAGCAUGAGACGGUAUCCUGAGUACGGCGGGACACGAGAAAUCUUGUCGGAAGCAGGCGGGACCAUCCGCCAAGGCAAAAUAUACAGUGUGAGCGAUAGAGAACGAGUACCGUGAGGGAAAGGUGAAAAGAACCGCGGGAGCGGAGUGAAAGAGAACCUGAAACCGUGUGCCUAAAAGAAGUCAGAGCCCGUCAAAGGGUGAUGGCGUGCCUUUUGUAGAAUGAACCGGCGAGUUGUUCCAUGGUGCGAGGUUAAGUCGGAAAGGACGGAGCCGAAGCGAAAGCGAGUCUUAAGAGGGCGGUAAGAGUAGUAUGGAGCAGACCCGAAACCGGGUGAUCUAGCCAUGGGCAGGUUGAAGCAGAAGUGAAAUUCUGUGGAGGACCGAACCGACUACCGUUGAAAAGUUAGCGGAUGACCUGUGGCUAGGGGAGAAAUUCCAAUCGAACCCGGAGAUAGCUGGUUCUCCCCGAAAUAGCUUUAGGGCUAGCGUCGGAGGAUGACAGACGGAGGUAGAGCACUGAACGGAUGAUGGCCCCAUCCCGGGGUACUGAAUGCGAUCAAACUGCGAAUGCCGACUGGGAGGAAUCCGGCAGUGAGACUGUGGGUGAUAAGGUCCAUGGUCGAGAGGGAAAGAGCCCAGACCGCCAGCAAAGGUCCCAAAAUACUGGCUAAGUGGAAAAGGAUGUGGGGACGCACGGACAGCUAGGAGGUUGGCUCAGAAGCAGCCAUCCUUGAAAGAGUGCGUAACAGCUCACUAGUCGAGUGGCCCUGCGCCGAAAAUGUACCGGGGCUUAAGCCAGGUACCGAAGCUGCGGAUGUAUAUGGAAGUAUAUGUGGUAGGGGAGCGUUGCAUGCAGGAAGAAGUAUGACGGAGACGGCAUAUGGACAGCAUGGAAGAGAGAAUGCCGGUGUGAGUAGCGAGAUGCAGGUGAGAAUCCUGCACACCGAAAGCCCAAGGAUUCCAGGGGAAGGUUCGUCCGCCCUGGGUAAGUCGGGACCUAACGUGAGGCCGAAAGGCGCAGCGGAUGGAAAGCAGGCGGAGAUUCCUGCACCCGUAUAUGGAGCGAAGGAGUGACGGAGAAGGCAGAUGCGACCCUCUUACUGGAUUGAGGGCCAAGCGAAGCAGGUGGUAUCCAGGCAAAUCCGGAUACGGAAACCAGAGCGUGACGGGUAAGCGAAAGCGGAAGGCGAGUAGCGAAGCGCAUCGGGUCAGCUUCCAGGAAAAGCUUCUAGUGUCAAUGCAUAUACGGCCCGUACCAAAACCGACACAGGUGGGCGCGCAGAGGAUGCGAAGGUGAGCGAGAGAACUGUUGCCAAGGAACUCGGCAAAAUGGCCCCGUACGUUCGCAAGAAGGGGCGCUCGAAAGAGCCGCAGUGAAAAGGCCCAAGCGACUGUUUAACUAAAACACAGCUCCCUGCGAAGCCGCAAGGCGAAGUAUAGGGGGUGACACCUGCCCGGUGCUGGAAGGUUAAGGCAAGCUGUGAACCGCGAGGUGAAGCAGUGACCCGAAGCCCCAGUGAACGGCGGCCGUAACUAUAACGGUCCUAAGGUAGCGAAAUUCCUUGUCAGGUAAGUUCUGACCCGCACGAAAGGUGUAACGAUUUGGGCGCUGUCUCGGCAGCAGACUCGGUGAAAUCUUAGUACCUGUGAAAAUGCAGGUUACCCGCAACUAGACGGAAAGACCCCAUGGAGCUUUACUGCAGCCUGGUAUUGGGUCCUGGACAGCCAUGUACAGGAUAGGUGGGAGACAAAGAAGCGAGUACGCAAGUAUUGGUGGAGUCGCCGGUGGGAUACCACUCCUGGAUGUAUGGGGCCCUAACCCGUGUGCCGAGAGGGACAGGGGAGAGUGCCAGGCGGGCAGUUUGACUGGGGCGGUCGCCUCCCAAAGAGUAACGGAGGCGCCCAAAGGUACGCUCAGGUUGGAUGGGAACCAACUGAAGAGUGCAAAUGCAGAAGCGUGCCUGACUGCGACAGAGACAACUGGAGCAGGGACGAAAGUCGGGAUUAGUGAUCCGGCGGUGCCGAAUGGAAGGGCCGUCGCUCAACGGAUAAAAGCUACCCUGGGGAUAACAGGCUGAUCUCGCCCAAGAGUUCACAUCGACGGCGAGGUUUGGCACCUCGAUGUCGGCUCAUCGCAUCCUGGAGCUGGAUUCGGUUCCAAGGGUUGGGCUGUCCGCCCAUUAAAGCGGUACGCGAGCUGGGUUCAGAACGUCGUGAGACAGUUCGGUCCCUAUCUGUUGUGGGCGUCGGAGAUCUGAGGGAAGCUGUCCUCAGUACGAGAGGACCGGGAUGGACCUGCCGCUGGUGCACCAGUUAUCAUGCCAAUGGUAUAGCUGGGUAGCCAAGCAGGGAACGGAUAAGAGCUGAAAGCAUCUAAGCACGAAGCCGGACCCAAGACGAGAUCUCCCAUUCUAAAAGAGAAGUAAGACCCCUUGAAGACUACGAGGUGGAUAGACCAGGGAUGGAAGUGCAGAGAUGCAUGGAGUUGACUGGCACUAAUCGGUCGAGGACUUGAUCUA